rnacentral:sRNA from 1 species
AUGAAUUCAUUCAACUACCAAACUUUGUCGUUUAACAACGCGGACUACAGCUACGGUUCAAAUGGAUCUAUGCAGCAGAGUACAUCAUAUUUGCCCCAAAGCGUUUCCAAGACUUGUGACUAUAACUGCAUUUGUUGUGCCCGUUUUCACGUUGGAAACCCUUGCCCUUGUAAUACACCGAAGACAUCCAUUGGGACCCAAACAGACCUGGAAGUUCCCCAGGGACUUGAUUCUGAGCGUUUUGGAAACGUGGAACCUAUGAGCAUAGCAUUUUACAGAAAUCCGUACAUGAUGUUGUUCAGAAGUACCACCUCAGUGGGAAAGCAGAUGCUAGUUGGGAGCAAGCAACGAGUGAGAUCAUGAUUUCAUUUACAAAGGACAUGCCACAGACAUCAACAAACCGGCAGAAAAUUCAACAACGCAUGAAGAAAGCGAUUUAUUGGCUUAAAUUCUAUGGGAAGAAAAAGUAAGUUAUUCAUGUGUCAUUUUACUUUUUCAAUGUAUUAAAAACUUUAAUUAUGUAUAAAAGUCAUCAUUUUUUU